rnacentral:rRNA from 1 species
UACGUAGGGUGCAAGCGUUGUUCGGAAUUACUGGGCGUAAAGGGCGCGUAGGCGGGCCCGUAUGUCGAUUGUGAAAGCCCUGGGCUUAACCCGGGAAUGGCAGUCGAAACUGCGGGUCUUGAGUGCCUGAGAGGAUGGCGGAAUUCCAGGUGUAGCGGUGAAAUGCGUAGAUAUCUGGAGGAACACCGGUGGCGAAGGCGGCAUCCUGGACCAUUACUGACACUGAAAAGCGAAAGCCAGGGGAGCAAACGGG